rnacentral:lncRNA from 1 species
AAGGUCUUCUCUAAAUAGAAAAGAAGCAAGAAUCUAUAGGAAAGGGAACAUUAUAGUAAGAAAGAUUAGUAUUUAUUUAUGUAUUUAAUUAUUUAAUUUUUUAUUGAAGUAUAUUUGAUUAUAAAUUGUGCCAGUUUCUACUGUAUAGCAAAAUGACUCAGUCAUACAUAUGUACAUUCAUUUUCUUACAUUAUUUUCCAUCACAGUCUUUCCCAGUCUAUUGGAUAUGGUUCUCUGUGCUGUACAGUAGGACCUCAUUCCUUUUCCAUUCUAAAUGGAAUGGUUUGCAUCUACUCACCCCAAACUCCUCAUCCAUCCCACUCCCUCCCCCUACCCCUUGGCAACCACAAAUCUGUUCUCUAUGUCCGUGAGUCUGUUUCUGUUAUGUAGAUAGGUUCAUUUAGGCUAUAUUUUAGAUUCCACAUAUCAUUAAGUAUUUAAAAGGUUGAUGAUCAUUUAAGUAAGCCAGUACAUAAAUUUUAAAAAUCAAAAAAUUCUAUGAGAGCAGUUAUAACUACAAUGAAUAGCAAAAGCAUAAACAUAAAGAUGUGAAAUAGGACAUCAGAAUCCCAAAUGGAGUGGAGGGAGCAAGACCAGGUAGAUCUUUUAGAACAACGUGUUUGAGUUCGUAAGUCUCUUAAGUUCUCAUAUUCUAGAACACUCUGCUGUAUCUAAUGGCCCUUUCCUUACUGAUGUGUUCCUGCUUCUCAGCUUCUGUGACCUUGUAUGCACCUAAAUUUCUCCAUGUUACCUUGCUAACAUUUUGUAUCCAUCGCCACCCAGCUGCUCACAUCUGUCAUCAUCAUCGGUCCAUGAGUAGGGCUUCAAAGCUGAUGUCCAUGAAUAUAGUACAUUCCAGUCUCAACCUCUCUUCUGAUUUCCAACAACACUUCAAAAUGCUGGUCAAGGCCACUUGGAUGUGCUGCCUGAAGCUCACCAUCCCCUUUUCUCAAAACAUUUUCCUUCUCCUUUCCAAGUUAUCACCUUCUGACUCUCUGAUUUUUUUCAAGGCCAACUCUACUCCAACAUCCACAUUAACUUAAAAAAAUCCCAAGUCAUCUUUGACUCUUGUGAUUUCUCAUUCACUUGUACAGCUUUCAAAAUGCUUUAACUGCGCAGUAUUUCAUGCUCAUUGCAGUGCUGUUAGUUGGGCAGUGCUGUCCCCGUGUUCAUUAUAUGCUUGAAGAGCUGGAAACUCUUGGUCUCAUCUUGGCUUUCGCAUGCAAUGUCCUAUACCUUUCACUGCACAGAGAACAGCUCCAUAUGUGACAGUUGGGAACUGCUCUAAGCCCGCCUCAAUGUAUGUGCUAGUCCUACUGUGAUGUUAACACUUGCUUGCUCUAUAUAGCUAUGAAUGGGUAGUACCUGUUGGCAGGUUUUCCCCAGCAGAGUCUCUGAAGAAUGCUUUUUAGACAAACAGUGAUAUACAGUAGCCUGGCGAGAGCUAUACCAAGGGAAUUUAGUAAUCAAAUUGAACUAACCAACUUGAUUUGGACAGUUGAUCUUUCUCUCCCCUAAAUUUAGCCUUAAGUGGCAUCUAUCUCUACUGUCUGUUCCUAUAAAAAAUGAAUAACUAAAUAACAAAUAAGUGUUUUAAUUGGCCAAUUUAGUGUGUGUCAGAUUUUUCCCAGAAACAGUGCAUCCAGAUUUGAAAAAUGACUAAACUACCUAGAAGCAGUCAAGUGUCAACAUACCAUAAAACCUGCAGAUUUCCAAACAGCUUAUAAUUAUUAAAAUGAAUAGCCUAGGAAUCUGUAGCUAAGGCUGGUAAUGAUCCCUACAGUCUUGGACUAGAUAUCAAAUGCUAUGGCUCUUAUCAUUGAAUUCUUAUGACUCAGCGGAUUUCCUCACUUGAUGUGUUCUUUCUAAAUUACACUUUUUUUUUUUGCUUUUUUUUAUGGCCACACCCGCAGCAUAUAGAAGUUCCCAGGCUAGGGGACAAGUCAGAGCUACAGCUGCUGGCCUACACCACAGCUCACGGCAACACCAGAUCCUUAACCCAGUGCACAAGGGCAGGGAUCAAACCCACAACCUCAUGGUUCCUAGUCGGAUUCAUUUCCACUGCGCCAUGACAGGAACUCCUAAAUUACACCUUUUUAAAUAAUAUGUAAUCAAAUAAUAUUUUCAUAAAAUUUGAAGUGUAACACUUUUUAAAAAUAAAGGGUGCAACUUUCCCUGCAAAAGCUCAAUCCACAGUUCCCUUUUUUGAGCGCUCGCUCUGUGCACAGCAUCACAUGCGGUAAAUGCAGAGGUCUGGGCCAGUGGGUUCUGGGGCUUCAAAGCAAAGAGGCGAAGAAUCACGCCUUGCGACCGCAUUGUCGCGGUGUGACGGCAGUGAUCACCCUUCCGUCUUUCAGCGCUGCCCUGACUCUCGUAAGUCAUGGCGGAUGAUCGACAGGGAAAAAGUGACAUUAAAUUAGAAAGCAGAGAUGGUGGUGAAGGACGUGGAGAAGAGUACAGCGAGGUGCGGUGGCCCUGUCUUCGCCACGCGUUCGUACGUUGGGGUACGCUACACGAUGAGACGGUCUCCCUCCUGGUUAGUAGGACUGUUUCCCCAAAUUGGCUGGUGGACGUACACUGCCAGGGUUGUCCGAUGCUCUUCAGGCCGUGGCUCUUUAUGAAAAGGGCCCGACACAUGACCCUGAAGCCCAACGACCUUUCAGUCGGAAACGUGUCUCUCUGCCCUGGAUCAGGAGAAUAAUGCUCAUGUUUUCCGCCUACGGCCGGCACCUGGCCAAGACUCAGAGUCCAAAGGAACUUUCCACUCAGCUUAGGAGCUUCGGUGUUGAGCAAGAAGGACGUCUCCCAAAUGCAGGUCAUGAUCGUCCUUUUUCCACACUUCUUUUAUUUUUGUUUUUGUUUUUUUUUUUUUGUUUUUGUUUUGUUUUUUUUAAAGCUGUCGUGCUUGAGUAGAGCUGGUGGUGGCUUUACAGCUUUACAAAUAAGGGGAGAGGGAGUUAAAGGAGAAAUGAUCAAAAUGAUAUUAAAUGCACCGUGAUAUCCAGUGGGCGAUUUCCCACUGCUGGCUUGUAGAGACAGGUGCCUUGUCUUGUUUUGCAUUAGUUUAUCACCACUCAUACCAUGCAAGAAAGCCCGAAGAGCACCGUGGACUCCCCCAAGUCUCCAUGGAGCAAAACUAAGCAUAAAGAAUUAGGAGUUCCCAUUCUGACUCAGUGGUUAACAAAUCCGACUAGGAACCACAAGGUUGCAGGUUCGAUCCCUGGCCUUGCUCAGUGGGUUAAGGAUCCAGCGUUGCCGUGAGCUAUGGUGUAGGUUGCAGACGUGGCUCGGAUCCUGCGUUGCUGUGGCUCUGGUGUAGGCCGGUGUCUACAGCUCCAAUUUGACCUAGCCUAGGAACCUCCAUAUGCCACAGAAGCAGCCUUAGGAAUUAUUUGCAGACACUGGCAGCUCUCAGCUGCUUACCAAGGCAAAGGAUAGAAGCAACUUGGGAAAAAAGAACAAUGGAUCAUAGCCUUCUAACUUUAAAAAAAAAAAA